rnacentral:misc_RNA from 1 species
AUGGAAUUGAGCUUUGUUCCUCUUCUUAAAUUGGUUGUUGCAUCUGAUGCGUGAAUUGGUUUGAUCUAUUGCUUCGACGUCGGUCGGAAUUUUCGAUUAGCGGAGGGUACAAUGGAAAAUCAAUUGCAAUUGGCCUUGACCAGUCCUACGACGCCGUUCUCGAGCUUGUUCGAGUCGCAGAAGGAAAUCCUUAAUAGCCAGAUUUAUCAGCUCCAGAACAUAGUUGUGCAACAAUGUAACCUCACUGGCGUCAAUCCUCUCUCUCAAGA